GAUGAACGCUGGCGGCGUGCCUAAUACAUGCAAGUCGAGCGAACAGACGAGGAGCUUGCUCCUCUGACGUUAGCGGCGGACGGGUGAGUAACACGUGGAUAACCUACCUAUAAGACUGGGAUAACUUCGGGAAACCGGAGCUAAUACCGGAUAAUAUAUUGAACCGCAUGGUUCAAUAGUGAAAGACGGUUUUGCUGUCACUUAUAGAUGGAUCCGCGCCGCAUUAGCUAGUUGGUAAGGUAACGGCUUACCAAGGCGACGAUGCGUAGCCGACCUGAGAGGGUGAUCGGCCACACUGGAACUGAGACACGGUCCAGACUCCUACGGGAGGCAGCAGUAGGGAAUCUUCCGCAAUGGGCGAAAGCCUGACGGAGCAACGCCGCGUGAGUGAUGAAGGUCUUCGGAUCGUAAAACUCUGUUAUUGGGAAGAACAAAUGUGUAAGUAACUAUGCACGUCUUGACGGUACCUAAUCAGAAAGCCACGGCUAACUACGUG
rnacentral:rRNA from 1 species